GCUUCGGUGGUGUAGCGGUAGUAGCACGCGUCCCCCACAUGGAUUAAACGCGGGUUCGAUUCCCGCCUGAGUUCGUA